GCUGGGCAUGGUGGCACAUGCCUGUAAUCCCAGCUACUCAGGAGGCUGAGGCAAGGGAAUCACUUGAACCCAGGAGACAGAGGUUGCUGUGAGCCAAGAUCGCACCACUGCACUCUAGCCUGGGCGACAAAGUAAGACUUUGUCUUUU
rnacentral:SRP_RNA from 1 species